rnacentral:rRNA from 1 species
AACGAACGCUGGCGGCAGGCUUAACACAUGCAAGUCGAGCGCCCCGCAAGGGGAGCGGCAGACGGGUGAGUAACGCGUGGGAACGUACCCUUUGCUACGGAACAGCUCCGGGAAACUGGAAUUAAUACCGUAUGUGCCCUACGGGGGAAAGAUUUAUCGGCAAAGGAUCGGCCCGCGUUGGAUUAGCUAGUUGGUGGGGUAAUGGCCUACCAAGGCGACGAUCCAUAGCUGGUCUGAGAGGAUGAUCAGCCACAUUGGGACUGAGACACGGCCCAAACUCCUACGGGAGGCAGCAGUGGGGAAUAUUGGACAAUGGGCGCAAGCCUGAUCCAGCCAUGCCGCGUGAGUGAUGAAGGCCUUAGGGUUGUAAGCUCUUUCACCGGAGAAGAUAAUGACGGUAUCCGGAGAAGAAGCCCCGGCUAACUUCGUGCCAGCAGCCGCAGUAACAC